AUAGCUCAGUGGUAGAGCACAUGCUUAGCAUGCAUGAGGUACUGGGUUCAAUCCCCAGU
rnacentral:tRNA from 1 species